rnacentral:rRNA from 1 species
AUACGGAGGAUCCGAGCGUUAUCCGGAUUUAUUGGGUUUAAAGGGAGCGUAGGCGGACGCUUAAGUCAGCUGUGAAAGUUUGGGGCUCAACCUUAAAAUUGCAGUUGAUACUGGUUUCCUUGAGUACGGUACAGGUGGGCGGAAUUCGUGGUGUAGCGGUGAAAUGCUUAGAUAUCACGAAGAACUCCGAUCGCGAAGGCAGCUCACCGGGCCGGAACUGACACUGAUGCUCGAAAGUGCGGGUAUCAAACAGGAUUAGAUACCCUGGUAGUCCGCACAGUAAACGAUGAAUACUCGCUGUUUGCGAUACACUGUAAGCGGCCAAGCGAAAGCGUUAAGUAUUCCACCUGGGGAGUACGCCGGCAACGGUGAAACUCAAAGGAAUUGACGGGG